GGCGCCUUUCCCAGAAAUUGGGCAGAGAUUUAGGCCUUACAGUUACUUAAACUUGUAACCCUCCCAGUAGCUGUGGAGUCUAGUAAACGUGGCUUCUGCCGGGUUCGCCGGUCAGCCCAGGCUGUUGAGGGGCAGGCAUGGGGCCCGUGGGCCAGAGGAGACCUCCAGGCUUCUCUCCCACUCUUCUCUGGCCUGCACCCCCUCUUGGGUAGAGGCUGCACCUCCUGCUUGGGUUCGGCCACCUCCAAAUACUGCAUCGACGGCCCGUGUCUCUGCCUGCGGGGCUGGGCCAGCGCCAGAGACGCAGGCAAAGCGCCAGCCGCCCAGGGGCAGCAGCUGGCGAGUUGAGCCUCGUCUGCAUGAGAAAGCAUCACCUUUGCUUUCGGUUUGAUGCGGCAGUUCUCAGCCAGGCUGGAGGCAGCCUGGAAUCCCAGAUCUCCUACUGACACCUCAGGUCUCCCCCGCGGCUCCGGGGACGUCCCUAACCCCUGAUGCUGCACCACAGGCAGACCUGCCAGAACCUCACCACCACCAAGAUUGCUACCUGGAGAUUCCUGCUUGCCCCAAACCCCAGAUCAUUGCUGCCACUCUGAAUCUAACAACCCUGCUGACAAAAUUUCAUAGCUGUCCUUUGAAAAACUUUACAAGGGCACCACUUCUGCGUCCCUCAUUCCCACUGCUCCGGAUCCCUGUCUACAGAGCCACUCCUCCCGCCGGUGUGAUCCUGGAGCCCACGGUGGCCCCUGCUUUGAAGAGCCUGUUGGUCCAGUCCUUCCCGCCUUCUGCAGAGCUGUUCUCCUCCUUCUAAAGAAGUCACCUGGGCCCUGGGCCCCGUCUUCCUGGCUCCACAGAGUCCCUGUGGCUGCAGGCACUGCUUCUCUCUCCUGCACCCAAUCCCUCUCCCACUCCACUGCCUCUGGGUGUGCAAAAACACUGAUGUUUCCCAUAUUUUCAAAAUCUCUCCCCUGUAGUUCCCACCUGACUUCUAAUAGGUGGCCAAAGUACAGACAUUAAUGUAUGUUAAGGCACAUAAUUAAUGCAUAUUAAAAGUUAACAAUAAUGAAUAAGUAAUUAUUAUUAUACAUUAAAGUCUUAAUGUAUAAUGAGAAGUAUUAACUAUUCAGAAGUCCAAGCACUUGUGUGUGUGUGUGCAUGGUGCUAUCGCCUUGCUGUGGGCAAACCUGCAUUGGCACAGAGGCCACUUCCUGAGCCUGGACCCAGUCUCAGAGCUGGGGAACUGGCCCAGUGCAAAAGGGUCGGGAGCAUCUGCAACAGAGCCUGAGCUCUGCCAUCGUCAUUGACACAGCCUCCAUCCACCCUCCCCAACUCAACAGAGAGAGCGCUCCAUCAUACUUCUAAGACUUAGUAGGCCAAGAGGGGCUGAAUUAAAUUCUCUGAGACUUGUCUUUGGUCUGACUCUGGCAGCCUCAGUCUCCCAGAGCCCGUGGGAACUCGGCAGCCGGCAGGCGGAAGGCUGGGCGACGUCAGAAGAAGUAAAGGGGGAAGAACUUUACUCUUAGGAUCUGGCUGGACUCUAAAGGGCACAGUCAAGUCCCUGGAUACCGAGCACAGGGCUGAAC
rnacentral:lncRNA from 1 species